GACGAACGCUGGCGGCGUGCUUAACACAUGCAAGUCGAGCGGUAAGGCCCUUUCGGGGGUACGACGAGCGGCGAACGGGUAGGAGUAACAACGUGGGUGGACCUCGCCUUUACGUCUCUGGGAGUAAAGACCUCGGGAAACCGGGGUACCGUAAUACCGGAUAUGACUCCGCGGCGCAUGUUGUGGGGUGGAAAGCCUUGUGCGGCUGGAGAUGGGCCCGCGGCCUAUCAGCUUGUUGGUGGGGUGAUGGCCUACCAAGGCGACGACGGGUAGCCGGCCUGAGAGGGCGACCGG
rnacentral:rRNA from 1 species